rnacentral:misc_RNA from 1 species
CAGGCCUAUGAUGUCUGAGGUACCUCCACAAUUUUCAGAGGUAAGCACAUUGAGGUUAUCUGAUUUGGAAUUAUCAGUUUCCUUUGGAGUCAAUAAUUCAGUAUGCCCUUCACCCUUCCACUUCCUGCUGUUGUUCAAACGUUCAUGGCGAGCUCUCUGUUGCAAAAAGUGACGACGUUUCCACCGCUUACUUGACCUCCGAGCCGCAAAGCAUCUACUGUUUGAUGAAGAUCCCAUUAAUAUGCUUGAUGCAGCAUUAAGAGAACCAUUACAAGAAAAAUUUCUAUUGUCAGAUUGAAUGGAGGUUUCAUACACAUCCAUUUCAACUGAAGAACUGAUGAAAUCAUCGUUCGACAAGUCCUUGCCAUUUCCUUCCAAAUUG